rnacentral:rRNA from 1 species
AGUGAACGCUGGCGGUAGGCCUAACACAUGCAAGUCGAACGGCAGCACAGUAAGAGCUUGCUCUUACGGGUGGCGAGUGGCGGACGGGUGAGGAAUACAUCGGAAUCUACUUUUUCGUGGGGGAUAACGUAGGGAAACUUACGCUAAUACCGCAUACGACCUACGGGUGAAAGCAGGGGAUCUUCUGACCUUGCGCGAUUGAAUGAGCCGAUGUCGGAUUAGCUAGUUGGCGGGGUAAAGGCCCACCAAGGCGACGAUCCGUAGCUGGUCUGAGAGGAUGAUCAGCCACACUGGAACUGAGACACGGUCCAGACUCCUACGGGAGGCAGCAGUGGGGAAUAUUGGACAAAGGGCGCAAGCCUGAUACAGCCAUACCGCGUGGGUGAAGAAGGCCUUCGGGUUGUAAAGCCCUUUUGUUGGGAAAGAAAAGCAGCAGGUUAAUACCCCGCUGUUCUGACGGUACCCAAAGAAUAAGCACCGGCUAACUUCGUG